CACACUCCAUAGUGGGACAUCAUGGGAUGCUGGGAGCCUUGGGACACAGUUCACACUCCAUAUCUCUCCGUUUGGCAGCCCUGUCCCAUUCAGUUCAAGGUGUUGGCAUUGUUGACGUGGUUCACCAGGAGCUGUGCGUGGGGCUGGAGCGUGGACGUCCACCAGCUUGUGUCUCCUGGCAAGCUGUUGGCUGCAGCUCUUGGUAGAGAGGGGGUGCCAAGCAGCUGGUCUGGGCAGACCCAGAAACAUCCAAGAGGUGUCCAAGGGAGAGGUCCCCAUGUGUUGGGCAGGAUGUUGUGUGAGGGAUAAACAUGACCUUUCCAGGA